GAGUGAGCUGGUCUUGGGAGAGACAGAGAGAGCUGAAGCUAAGGAGCAGAGAUUUCUUGGUUGGUUUUUGGAAAGGAAGGAGAGCUUGAGGACGAGUAAAUCUGGCUCCAGAGGAGACACUUUAGAUGGAAAGGCCCUGUGCCAGAGGAAGCUCAAAGGAGAUGCCAAUGAGAAGAGCAGAGAAUGGGAUGAUGAUGAUUUGGUUAAUAGAAGUGCUCCCAGAGGGGAAAAGCUGAACGAAAUUUGAAAGGGAAAAGGGGAAUCUAGUUUGGAUGAAGGAGACAGCUCUUCUCUUAGUGGUUAUGAUCAAGAAAAGGGUCCAUAGGUUUAUCCCCAAUCAUCUGCGCCAGGUGGCUCACAGAGUGCUCGGGCAGAUGCACAUACACUUCUCGUACCUGAUUUGAAGAGUGCUCUUGAAUCAGAUUGCCCUUUCCUGCAAUUUUAUCUCCUCGGAAUUGAAAGGCCAGUUUUUGUUAUUCAAUGGCAAAACAAAAGAUGAAAUUGGUAGAAAUUCAACUGAUAUUGCACUACUCAAAUGCCUGAAGCCAGAAUCCAGCUAGUGCAGAUUCCAGCAUGAUUGAUCAUCUCAGUGGUGAUAUCUGCAACUCUUAGUUUGAAAGACCCCUGAAACAUCAGAAGCCACGCCCCAUGUUAUCCUAUUGUAUUCCAACAAUAUAAACUCCGUCUCCCCAUGAACGCCAACAUUACCACCCUCAUUCCCUCUCUCUCAUUUCAUAAAUGCUAUCGCAUCACCCAUGUUCACUGCACUUCAAUUCCAGUGUAUAAUAAACCACCUCCAAUGAUGAAAUAUGCCAUUCCGCAACUCUCUGCUCCUUGGGAUGCCUGAGCUCUUUCCCACCCUAUUCCCACUUGUGCAUGGAGUGCAUGGCCACCUUUGGGUGUGCCAUUUUCAAAGCCCACAGCUGUUGGAUAUGCAAAUGAUGAAGAGGAUGCAAAGCAAAGAAAACCUGUCUGGGUGAAUGAAGAAGAGGAAAGGAUCAAUGUAAAUAUAGCUAAAGUCAACAGAUUGGGGAA